rnacentral:rRNA from 1 species
AAAUUGAAGAGUUUGAUCAUGGCUCAGAUUGAACGCUGGCGGCAGGCCUAACACAUGCAAGUCGAGCGGUAGCACAGAGAGCUUGCUCUCGGGUGACGAGCGGCGGACGGGUGAGUAAUGUCUGGGAAACUGCCUGAUGGAGGGGGAUAACUACUGGAAACGGUAGCUAAUACCGCAUAAUGUCGCAAGACCAAAGUGGGGGACCUUCGGGCCUCAUGCCAUCAGAUGUGCCCAGAUGGGAUUAGCUAGUAGGUGGGGUAACGGCUCACCUAGGCGACGAUCCCUAGCUGGUCUGAGAGGAUGACCAGCCACACUGGAACUGAGACACGGUCCAGACUCCUACGGGAGGCAGCAGUGGGGAAUAUUGCACAAUGGGCGCAAGCCUGAUGCAGCCAUGCCGCGUGUGUGAAGAAGGCCUUCGGGUUGUAAAGCACUUUCAGCGGGGAGGAAGGCGAUAAGGUUAAUAACCUUGCGAUUGACGUUACCCGCAGAAGAAGCACCGGCUAACUCCGUGCCAGCAGCCGCGGUAAUACGGAGGGUGCAAGCGUUAAUCGGAAUUACUGGGCGUAAAGCGCACGCAGGCGGUCUGUCAAGUCGGAUGUGAAAUCCCCGGGCUCAACCUGGGAACUGCAUUCGAAACUGGCAGGCUAGAGUCUUGUAGAGGGGGUAGAAUUCCAGGUGUAGCGGUGAAAUGCGUAGAGAUCUGGAGGAAUACCGGUGGCGAAGGCGGCCCCCUGGACAAAGACUGACGCUCAGGUGCGAAAGCGUGGGGAGCAAACAGGAUUAGAUACCCUGGUAGUCCACGCCGUAAACGAUGUCGAUUUGGAGGUUGUGCCCUUGAGGCGUGGCUUCCGGAGCUAACGCGUUAAAUCGACCGCCUGGGGAGUACGGCCGCAAGGUUAAAACUCAAAUGAAUUGACGGGGCCCGCACAAGCGGUGGAGCAUGUGGUUUAAUUCGAUGCAACGCGAAGAACCUUACCUGGUCUUGACAUCCACAGAACUUUCCAGAGAUGGAUUGGUGCCUUCGGGAACUGUGAGACAGGUGCUGCAUGGCUGUCGUCAGCUCGUGUUGUGAAAUGUUGGGUUAAGUCCCGCAACGAGCGCAACCCUUAUCCUUUGUUGCCAGCGGUCCGGCCGGGAACUCAAAGGAGACUGCCAGUGAUAAACUGGAGGAAGGUGGGGAUGACGUCAAGUCAUCAUGGCCCUUACGACCAGGGCUACACACGUGCUACAAUGGCAUAUACAAAGAGAAGCGACCUCGCGAGAGCAAGCGGACCUCAUAAAGUAUGUCGUAGUCCGGAUUGGAGUCUGCAACUCGACUCCAUGAAGUCGGAAUCGCUAGUAAUCGUAGAUCAGAAUGCUACGGUGAAUACGUUCCCGGGCCUUGUACACACCGCCCGUCACACCAUGGGAGUGGGUUGCAAAAGAAGUAGGUAGCUUAACCUUCGGGAGGGCGCUUACCACUUUGUGAUUCAUGACUGGGGUGAAGUCGUAACAAGGUAACCGUAGGGGAACCUGCGGUUGGAUCACCUCCUUACCUUAAAGAA